rnacentral:rRNA from 1 species
GCAGUCGAACGAUGAAGCCCAGCUUGCUGGGUGGAUUAGUGGCGAACGGGUGAGUAACACGUGAGUAACCUGCCCUUAACUCUGGGAUAAGCCUGGGAAACUGGGUCUAAUACCGGAUAGGAGCGUCCACCGCAUGGUGGGUGUUGGAAAGAUUUAUCGGUUUUGGAUGGACUCGCGGCCUAUCAGCUUGUUGGUGAGGUAAUGGCUCACCAAGGCGACGACGGGUAGCCGGCCUGAGAGGGUGACCGGCCACACUGGGACUGAGACACGGCCCAGACUCCUACGGGAGGCAGCAGUGGGGAAUAUUGCACAAUGGGCGCAAGCCUGAUGCAGCGACGCCGCGUGAGGGAUGACGGCCUUCGGGUUGUAAACCUCUUUCAGUAGGGAAGAAGCGAAAGUGACGGUACCUGCAGAAGAAGCACCGGCUAACUACGUGCCAGCAGCCGCGGUAAUACGUAGGGUGCGAGCGUUAUCCGGAAUUAUUGGGCGUAAAGAGCUCGUAGGCGGUUUGUCGCGUCUGUCGUGAAAGUCCGGGGCUUAACCCCGGAUCUGCGGUGGGUACGGGCAGACUAGAGUGCAGUAGGGGAGACUGGAAUUCCUGGUGUAGCGGUGGAAUGCGCAGAUAUCAGGAGGAACACCGAUGGCGAAGGCAGGUCUCUGGGCUGUAACUGACGCUGAGGAGCGAAAGCAUGGGGAGCGAACAGGAUUAGAUACCCUGGUAGUCCAUGCCGUAAACGUUGGGCACUAGGUGUGGGGACCAUUCCACGGUUUCCGCGCCGCAGCUAACGCAUUAAGUGCCCCGCCUGGGGAGUACGGCCGCAAGGCUAAAACUCA